rnacentral:rRNA from 1 species
UACGUAUGGUGCAAGCGUUAUCCGGAUUUACUGGGUGUAAGGGGAGCGCAGGCGGCACGGCAAGCCUGAUGUGAAAGCCCGCGGCCCAACCGCGGGACUGCAUUGGGAACUACCGGGCUGGAGUGCCGGAGAGGUAGGCGGAAUUCCUAGUGUAGCGGUGAAAUGCGUAGAUAUUAGGAGGAACACCAGUGGCGAAGGCGGCCCACUGGACGGUGACUGACGCUGAGGCUCGAAAGCGUGGGGAGCAAACAGG